rnacentral:rRNA from 1 species
CUCUGAGAUAAGCCUGGGAAACUGGGUCUAAUACCGGAUAUGACCAACUGUCGCAUGGUGGUUGGUGGAAAGCUUUUGCGGUGUGGGAUGGGCCCGCGGCCUAUCAGCUUGUUGGUGGGGUAAUGGCCUACCAAGGCGACGACGGGUAGCCGACCUGAGAGGGUGAUCGGCCACACUGGGACUGAGACACGGCCCAGACUCCUACGGGAGGCAGCGGUGGGGAAUAUUGCACAAUGGGCGCACGCGUGAUGCAGCGCCGCCGCGGGAGGAAUGGGGGCGUUCGGGUUGUAAACCUCUUUCCCAGGGCACAAGACGCGAGUGGCGGACCGUGAUGAAGAAGCUCCGCCCAACUCCGUGCGAAACGCCGCGGUAUAGCGGAGGCUGCGAGCUGUGUCAGGAAUUACUGGUUGUAAGGGGUGCAUAGGCGGUUUGCCCCUGCUCCGGUGAUUGUCCGCACCUCAAUCGCUGCCUUGCAGGCUAAGCGUUGCGACUGGAGUCCUCCGGGGGAGACUGGAAUGCCUGAGGUACGGCUGAAAUGCGCAGAUAUGAGACGGAACACGGGUGGCGACGGUGGACCUCGUGGACGGUAACGGACUCUGAGGAGCGACAGCUGGGGAGGUUAUCAUGCUUAGAUGCCGUGGUAGCCCAGACAGUAGACGUCGGGACCUGGGUGUGGGUUCAUUUUUGCGGGAUCCG